rnacentral:tRNA from 1 species
CAAUUAAAGAAAUAUAUAAAAAAGCUGCUAACUUUUUACUAUAGUGAAUUUCAUUAAUAUUUCAUUUCUA